GACGAACGCUGGCGGCGUGCUUAACACAUGCAAGUCGUACGGUAAGGCCCUUUCGGGGGUACACGCGUGGCGAAAGGGUGAGUAACACGUGAGUAACCUGCCCACAACUUUGGGAUAACGCUAGGAAACUGGUGCUAAUACUGGAUAUGUGCUCCUGCUGCAUGGGGGGGGUUGGAAAGCUCCGGCGGUUGGGAUGGACUCGCGGCCUAUCAGCUUGUUGGUGGGGUAGUGGCCUACCAAGGCGGCGACGGGUAGCCGGCCUGAGAGGGUGACCGGCCACAUUGGGACUGAGAGACGGCCCAGACUCCUACGGGAGGCAGCAGGGGGGAAUAUUGCACAAUGGGCGCAAGCCUGAUGCAGCAACGCCGCGUGCGGGAUGACGGCCUUCGGGUUGUAAACCGCUUUCAGCAGGGACGAAGCUUUUUGUGACGGUACCUGCAGAAGAAGCACCGGCUAACUACGUG
rnacentral:rRNA from 1 species